AUUAGGCAAUCAUGUGAUGCCGUCGCCGGCUAAGCCUGCCUGCUGGUUCCCGCCUCGCCGCCUCCUGCAGCCCCAUCCCGAGAUGGGCCAGCUCCUGUCAGGGGACAUUGAGAGCCAAGAGCUGUCCCUUAGAGGGUGCGUACAAGAGCAUUUACAGGCUGUCUCUUGGAUUUGGAACAUCUGUGCAUCCUGUUUCUAUUCUAGUCAACCAACUCAGAUUUACUGCUGGGCAGCCGGGCCCCAAAGGGGAGUGAAGGAGUAGUGAGGGCAAGGAUAAACAGCCCUCAAGCCCCUUCCUCAAGGGGCUCACAGCAGGGGGUGGGGUGGGGUUGGUGAAUCGGGGGCCAGGUGCUCUAGGUGUGUGUAGGGAAGACGUAGUAGGUUGGCUCUAGGCAGGGAAAAAGAGGUUUAAUUCCACCUUGGGGGCCCUUUUUUUUUUUUUUUUUUUGGUGGUACGCGGGCCUCUCACUGUCGUGGCCUCUCCCGUUGCGGAGCACAGGCUGCGGACGCGCAGGCUCAGCGGCCAUGGCUCACGGGCCCAGCCGCUCCGCGGCAUGUGGGAUCUUCCCGGACCGGGGCACGAACCCGUGUCCCUUGCAUCGGCAGGCGGACUCUCAACCACUGCGCCACCAGGGAAGCCCCGUGGGGGCACUUUUUUGAGCUGAGGCUGGGAGGAUUUAAACUGGCAAGUGGGGAGGGGUUAGAGAAGUGGCUAGAUAGGGGGUAAUGGGAAGAGCAUUAGGAAACCAGAUGGGAAAGGCAGCCUUGGGCAGGGAUUGAGUGCCAGGUUCAAUGGAGUGGACUUGAGGAGCUGCUGGGUGUGUGGCACCAGGCUGGGCUGGCUGUGCGUGCAUAGCACAAGUGGCUUCCUAGUUUCGGUUGGCCCUACCUUUCAGGAAUUGACAUGCCGGUGAGGAGAGAAAAUAUACCACACGGAACAGAUUCACCAGCAGCAGGAGCUAGACUGCUCAGUGCCAAGGGGCCUUUCCCCGUCAGAGAUGGGUGAUGGGAGAUGCACCAGGAGAGAUGAGAGGCCCAGAGGAAGCCUGGUGCCAGGUCUUGGAGGAAGGGCCGCGUUUGGUUGUGCCGCGUGGCUGGGGAGCACUGCAGGUUAAGCAAAGAGCUUGAGCUGGGGGUGAGGCUGGGGUUGGGGACAAAUAGCCAAACUCAGGGGUGGUGGGAGUCUGGGUAGAGAAGAUCUUGAUAGAAUCAACUGACUGUAAAUGUAAGGACUGGACUCUGGGCUCUCAAUUCUAUUUCACUGAUACAUGUGUCCAUUCUUAAAGCCAGUAUCACACUGUCUUCAUUACUAUAGCUUUUUAGCAAAUUUUGAAAUAGGGGAAGUGGGAGUCCUCUAAUUUCUUUUUCAGGAUUUCAGGAUUUUGGCUAUUCUAGGUCCCCUGAAUUUCUAUGUGAAUUUUAGGAUCAGUUUCUGCAAAGACAGCUGAGGGUUUGAUAGAGAAUGCUCUGAAUCUAUAUUUAGGGUGUAUUACCUUCUUAACAAUAUUGUCUUCCCAUUCAUGAAUAUGGGCUGUCUUGAUUUAUUUAUCAGUUUCUUUUUGACAGUUGCCAAGUAUUCCACACUAUAGGUGUUACAUGUUUACUUAACCAGUCUCUCUCUUUUUUUUUUUUUGGCCACGCUGUGCAGCUUGUGGGAUCUUAGUUUCCCUACCAGCGAUCAAACCCGUGCCCCCUGCAAUGGAAGCUCAGAGUCCUAACCACUGGACCACCAGGGAAUUCCCUUAACCGGUCUCAUUUAAUGGACUUUUAUGUGUUUCCAGUUUUUGCGGUUACAAAUAAUUAGGCAACGAAUAUUUCUGAACAUGUCUCUGAGUGCACAUAUGGGAGUUAAAUUCCUGAAAGUAACAUUGCUGGGUAAAAGGUAUGUUGAAAUAUUAAUACCAAAUUGCCUUAACAUUUUUCCAUUUUACACUCCCAGGCUCAAUAUUUGGGGGAACUUAUUUCCCAUAUACUCACUAACACUGGAUAUGCCAGUUCAAAAAAUUUUUGCCGUUCUAAUGAGGGAAGAUAUUUCAUGGUUGUUUUAUCUGCAUUUCCUUGAUCUCAAGGGAAGCUGAGCAUUUUUGUGUACGUUUAUUCUGCAUAUGUAUUUCUUCUGUGAAAUGCCUGUUCUUAUCCGUAUUAGUCAGGGUUCUCCAAAGAAACAGAACCAGUUGAUGUGUAUAUAGAAAAAGAUUUAUUAAAAAGGGAUUGGCUCACAUGACUAUGGAAGCUAGUAAGUCCAAAAUCUGCAGUGUGAGCCUGCAGGCUGGAGAUUCAGGAGAGCCGAUGGUGCAGAUGAAAGUCCAAAGACAGUUGCUAGAGAAUUUCCUCUUGCCUGGAGAGGCCAGUCUUUUUGUUCAAUUCAGGCCUUCAGCUGAUUAGAUGAGGCCCACCUGCAUUAUGGAGGGCAAUUUGCUUUAGCCAGAAUUCAGUGAUUUAGAUGUUAAUCUCAUCCAAAAACACCUGCCAAGUUGACACAUAAAACUAAUCAUCACACAACAAACUCACAGAUAUAGAAAACAAACUAGUGUUUAUGAGUGGAGAGAGGAAUGGGGGAGGGGCAAUAUAGGGGAUUAAGAGGUACAGACUAUUAUAUAUAAAAUAAGCUACAAGAAUAUAUUGUACAACACAGGAAGUAUAGCCAAUAUUUUAUAAUAACUAUAAGUGAAGUAUAACUUAUAAAAACUACAUUGUACACCUGUAACUUACAUGAUAUUGUAUAGUUGAUAUAGGACAUCAACUAUGGUUCAAUAAUAAAAAAAACUAACCAUCACAUUAUCCCUUGUUCAUUUUUCUCCCGUGUUUCUUUUUCUUGUUGAACUGUGGGAGCUCUUUAUAUAGUCUGGAUAUUAUAUAUGUUGCAGAUAUUUCCUCCCAAUCUGUCAUCUGUCUUUUAUCUUUGUUAAUGGUAUCUUCUGUGGUCAGAAGUUGUGUUGUUAUGUCAUCUGAAAUCUAGCAAUCGAUCUUUUCCUUUGUGGCUUCUGCCUUCCCGCAGCCCACACUUGCUUAAGAAGUUAGAAAUAUGUUCUUCCUGGUCUGUGACAAUUCCUGCUGUGGUCCCACCUCGGAUGCCAGCACUACCCUGGAUUGAGGCACCACAGUGAUAGGAGAUUCCACUGAGAGGCCUGACAUGAAGAGAACCCUGGAUGUGACUGGCUAAGAGGUUCCUCAAGGUCAGGAUUGGACAGCUUCCCUCUCUCUCCCUCUUUCUGCUUCUUUCAGCCUCUCCCCAGUUCUUCCCAUCACCCCUUCAGGGUUUUCUUCAUUCAGACUUCCAGUUCUGCUCUCAUAGAAGAGUCACAGCUGCCCCAGGGCCAGGGGCCUUUCCCCCCAAGAUCUUGAAUUGCCCGAUAAAACAUCAGAUGCCCAGUUAAAUUUGAAUUUCAAAUAAAGACACAUUUUUAAAGCAUAAUUAUGUCCCAUGCAAUAUUUGACACAUACCUUCAAUUAAAAAUUAAUCCCUGGGAGUUCCCUGGUGACCUAGUGGUUAGGAUCCGGACUCUCACUGCCAAGGCCCGGGUUCAAUCCCUGGUUGGGGAACUGAGAUCAUCUCCUCAAGCUGUGCAGUGUGGCCAAAAAGAAAAAAAAAAAAUUAUUCCUCGUGUAUCUGAAACUCAAAUUUAACAGGGCAUCUUAUAUUUUUAUUUCCUAAAUCUGGCAGCCCUGAACACUAAGGUUGGAGUGAGGGCACAGAAACAGCCCCUGCCUCGAACACACCUACUCCUUCCUUCCCCAUCCUGCCUGAGUCACCUUAGGGCUUGACUCCACGAGAGAACAGAAGCUUGCAGAUGCCCGUGAAUCACUGGCGAUGGAGAACCGGAAAUGGAGGCUCAGCACUGGAGUAUUUUGUUAGUAACUCAGCUCACACCAGCCAGGUGGCCAACAGGGUGAGAUGUUCUGAAUGGUGAAUGAUCCUUGGUAAAGUUCUAACGGAGACAAAGCCACAUCUUCCUGAAGACUGCAUGGUAGUUUUAUUCCUGGGAAAUUCUAUAGAUUAUCAAUAUAAAACCAUUUAAAAAGA